rnacentral:rRNA from 1 species
CCUACGGGAGGCAGCAGUGAGGAAUAUUGGUCAAUGGGAGAGAUCCUGAACCAGCCAAGCCGCGUGAGGGAAGACUGCCCUAUGGGUUGUAAACCUCUUUUGUCGGAGGACAAAGCCCGGCACGUGUGCCUGACUGCAUGUAUCCCAAGAACAAGCAUCGGCUAACUCCGUGCCAGCAGCCGCGGUAAUACGGAGGGUGCGAGCGUUAUCCGGAUUUAUUGGGUUUAAAGGGUGCGUAGGCGGUCGUGCAAGUCAGCGGUAAAAUUGCGGGGCUCAACCCCGUCGAGCCGUUGAAACUGGCAGACUGGAGUGGGCGAGAAGUAAGCGGAAUGCGCGGUGUAGCGGUGAAAUGCAUAGAUAUCGCGCAGAACUCCGAUUGCGAAGGCAGCGUACCGGCGCGAGACUGACGCUGAGGCACGAAAGCGUGGGGAUCGAACAGGAUUAGAUACCCUGGUAGUC